rnacentral:rRNA from 1 species
AGAACGAACGCUGGCGGCGUGCUUAACACAUGCAAGUCGAGUGCGCGUCUGUAGCAAUACAAAUGGCGCACGGCGCACGGGUGCGUAACACGUGGGCAAUCUGCCCUUCGAUGGGGAAUAACUCCGGGAAACCGAAGCUAAUUCCGCAUAACAUUCCUUGGACUUCGGUUCGAGGAUUCAAAGCCGUAAGGCGUCGAAGGAGGAGCCCGCGCACGAUUAGCUAGUUGGUAGGGUAACGGCCUACCAAGGCUUUGAUCGUUAGCUGGUCUGAGAGGAUGGCCAGCCACACUGGAACUGAGACACGGUCCAGACUCCUACGGGAGGCAGCAGUGGGGAAUCUUGCACAAUGGGCGAAAGCCUGAUGCAGCGACGCCGCGUGGGGGAUGAAGCAUCUCGGUGUGUAAACCCCUUUCGACUGGGACGAAUGCCUCGCAAGAGGAGUGACGGUACCAGUAGAAGAAGCCCCGGCUAACUACGUGCCAGCAGCCGCGGUAAGACGUAGGGGGCCAGCGUUGUUCGGAAUUACUGGGUGUAAAGGGUUCGUAGGCGGUGUGGCAAGUUGGGAGUGAAAUCUCUGGGCUCAACCCAGAGGCUGCUUCCAAAACUGCCAUGCUUGAGUGUGGGAGAGGCGCGUGGAAUUGCAGGUGUAGCGGUGAAAUGC